rnacentral:rRNA from 1 species
UAGGGAAUAUUGGACAAUGGGGGCAACCCUGAUCCAGCCAUGCCGCGUGAGUGAAGAAGGCCCUCGGGUUGUAAAGCUCUUUUGUCCGGAAAGAAAAGCUUCGGGUUAAUACCCCGGGGUUCUGACGGUACCGGAAGAAUAAGCACCGGCUAACUUCGUGCCAGCAGCCGCGGUAAUACGAAGGGUGCAAGCGUUAAUCGGAAUUACUGGGCGUAAAGCGUGCGCAGGCGGUUUUGUAAGACAGAUGUGAAAUCCCCGGGCUUAACCUGGGAACUGCGUUUGUGACUGCAAGGCUGGAGUACGGCAGAGGGUGGUGGAAUUCCACGUGUAGCAGUGAAAUGCGUAGAGAUGUGGAGGAACACCGAUGGCGAAGGCAGCCCCCUGGGCCUGUACUGACGCUCAUGCACGAAAGCGUGGGGAGCAAACA